rnacentral:lncRNA from 1 species
GCCCUUCUAGUCACGGAACCGGGCCGAACCAGCCCGUAAACCGUUGACAUCACCUCACUAGGACAUUUUGACCCAGGUGUCAGCGUGUGUCAGGCUUUGCAGGCUCACAGCCUCAGCUAGAGCUGAGUAGGAAGAUGUAGACAGCACCCUCCCACAGCAAGCCAAAUUAAUCCCUGAGGUUACAGCAUUUUACUAAAUAGAUUCACUGAGCAGGAUUUGAAAUUAUGUCUCAGCUCUCAUUGGGGUUGUCAGUUCCCUCACUGCAAAGUUGGCAAAGUCACCCACGUUGGAGGUGGGGGACAGCUACAAAGAAGGAUGGUUCGGAAACCUGAGUUCUCAUGCUUUUGGAGGCUCAGUUAUGGACAUGGUAUAUAUAAGUAUGGGAUUCUCAUGCUUUACAGGAAUAAAUCUACCAGGCUGAUAAGGUGCAGCAACUGACAGCAUCUAGGAAACAUCCCCAGAACACCAAAGAAAAUCUGCACUCCUGAUUUUGAGAGAGGUUGUGAUGCAUGGCCCAAAGGAAGCAUCCCUGCACCCAAGGAAUAAGCCACUGCAUUUGCUGACAGUUUACAUGGUACACAGGAGGGAACUCUGCCCUGGGCAGAUGAGGAUUGUCUUGUCCAGACAGACGACAGAAUCCGAGAAGUAGCAGGAGCUCUUUGUCAUCCUGCUGUGAUCUGUGAGGAGAAAGGUGCAGCUGUGAGAGUCCAGGCUAUGGCAGCUCUGUUACUGGAUUCUGAGCUGCUGCCAGAUGAUCUCUUGUCUCUUUUAAGUGAAGGUGUUUCCAUGGCUAUACAUGCAGUCACAGUAAAUCCAUGAACCACAGUGCUGUCAGCUACAUCCCUUAGAAGACACUUUCAAGAAAGACAGAGGAAGAAGAGAAGGAACUUCAGGUUUGGCUGCAGGCUUGGCCAACCACACCACUUGCCCAUGGAAAUGCUCUGAACCUCAAGCAGCAAGCUCCUUCUGCACCAGGAGCUCCAACUGUGGGAGCCAGCAAGGUGAGGAAACCUGGGGGCAGGGAUGUGGGGUACUGCACCCACAGGGUGACUUCUCCCUUCUUUGCUUGGAGUUCAUCAUUUUUCCAGUUCUUCAAGAUGAGCUAGGAUCAGCUGAGAAGGAAAAACUGAUGUGCGUGUUUCUGUUGCUGCUCAGAAGUUACAGUAGUAAAUAAAAUAUAAGAUUCCCUGUUUUAGGCCAACUAGUUGGAAGCAUAAGAAUCUAAAUUAUAUAUUUUUUUUCAAUUUUACUGAAAAAUA